rnacentral:rRNA from 1 species
ACGGGUGCAGCAGGCGCGAAAACUUUACAAUGCGGGAAACCGUGAUAAGGGAACCCCGAGUGCCCGUAAAUUCGGGCUGUCCGUCAGUGUAAAUAACUGGCGAAGAAAGGGCCGGGCAAGACCGGUGCCAGCCGCCGCGGUAAUACCGGCGGCUCGAGUGGUGGCCGCUAUUACUGGGCUUAAAGCGUCCGUAGCUGGGUUGUUAAGUCUCCUGGGAAAUCCACCGGCUCAACCGAUGGGCGUUCAGGAGAUACUGGCAACCUAGGGACCGGGAGAGGUGAGAGGUACUCCAGGGGUAGGAGUGAAAUCCUGUAAUCCUUGGGGGACCACCUGUGGCGAAGGCGUCUCACCAGAACGGCUCCGACAGUGAGGGACGAAAGCUGGGGGAGCAAACCGGAUUAGAUACCCGGGUAGUCCCAGCUGUAAACGAUGCGCGUUAGGUGUAUCGGUGACCACGAGUCACCGAGGUGCCGAAGAGAAAUCGUGAAACGUGCCGCCUGGGAAGUACGGUCGCAAGGCUGAAUCUUUAAAGGAAUUGGCGGGGGAGCAC